rnacentral:rRNA from 1 species
GUCGUAACAAGGUUUCCGUAGGUGAACCUGCGGAAGGAUCAUUCACACGCAUCCAAUUGAUUCAUUGUGAACUUCUUGAUGUGAGCUUUGUGUGGGGAUGGGUUGCCGCAUCCUGAUGCAUUGACUCGCGGGUAGUGGAGCAGCAUCGGACCGUCUUCCUUUUCUGUGAAGCUACCAUUGGCAUCGAACUUCGUUUCUGAACUUUUUCAAUGGUGGGUAACCGCCUCUCAAAUUAUACAACUUUCAGCGACGGAUGUCUCGGCUCGAACAACGAUGAAGGGCGCAGCGAAGUGUGAUAAGCAUUGUGAAUUGCAGAAUUCCGUGAACCAACAGGAAUUUGAACGUAUACUGCGCUUUCGGGAUAUCCCUGAAAGCAUGCCUGCUUCAGUGUCUACUGAUAUUCAUGCCGCUGACGCAUUCCAAUUCACUUUGGUGCUGUCAAGUGUGCGUGUUUGUGUGUCAAGGAGCUUCGCGCCCUUGACGCAUCCAGUGCACAGGUGCUGUCCACAACAAGCAAUUUGAAUAACACUUCUGUGUCAUGCGUUGCGUUGUUGUUGGUCACAUGCCUGAUACAAUUCCAAACUGUUUGAUCUUAUUCAAGACAUGAAGUUAGGUUAGCAAACCCGCUGAAUUUAAGCAUAUAAGUAAGCGGAGGAUAAGAAACUAAAUAGGAUUCCCUCAGUAAUGGCGAAUGAACAGGGAUGAGCUCAGCAUGGAAAUUGGGGCCUGUGGCCUUGAAUUGUAGUCUCGAGAUGCAUUGCCAACGGAGGCGCAGAUGUAAGCCUCUUGGAAAAGAGCAUCAGUGAGGGUGAGAGUCCCGUCUGUCAUCUGCAGUCCCCCGUGCACGGUGUGCGUUCUAAGAGUCACGUUCCUCGGGAUUGGAGCGCAAAUUGGGUGGUAAAUUUCAUCUAAAGCUAAAUAUUGGUUCGAGACCGAUAGCAAACAAGUACCAUGAGGGAAAGGUGAAAAGGACUUUGAAGAGAGAGUUAAAAGUGCCUGAAAUUGCUGAAAGGGAAGCGAAUGGAACCAGUGUUUCUUGGUGAGAUUGUUGCGUGCUAUGGUGAUAGCUUGCUGUUUCAGCGCAAGUGUUGCAGCAGGUUUUGAACUGGACGUGCGCGGUGCUUCUUACCUUGUGUGUCAACGUCGGUUCGGACUUGAGGAAAACUCCAGGGACAUGGUAAUUUGCCUGCGGUGAAUGAAUGUGCUUGGCAGAACUCAUUUCUGAACUGAUUCCUGUAUGUCUGGUCGCAGUGCUUUUACUGCUCACGUUCAGAGGGUCCUUGUGACCUGCUGGGCUUGCACGUGGAGCACUUCCCUGACAUAAGUACGAUGACAAAAUGGUUUUAUUCGACCCGUCUUGAAACACGGACUAAGGAGUCUAACAUAUGUGCAAGUUCACGGGUGCUAAACCUGCUUGCGCAAUGAAAGUGACUGCUGGGAUUUCUGCACCAGCAACCGACCAAUCAAUUGUGAGAGGUUUGAGUAUGAGCAUAUCUGUUAGGACCCGAAAGAUGGUGAACUAUGCGUGA